UACGGAGGAUCCAAGCGUUAUCCGGAUUUAUUGGGUUUAAAGGGUGCGUAGGUGGGUUGGUGAGUCAGUGGUGAAAUACUUUCGCUUAACGAAGGAACUGCCAUUGAUACUACCAGCCUUGAAUACAGUGGAGGUGGGCGGAAUGCGUCAUGUAGCGGUGAAAUGCUUAGAUAUGACGCAGAACACCAAUUGCGAAGGCAGCUUGCUACGCUGUUAUUGACACUGAGGCACGAAAGCGUGGGGAUCAAACAGG
rnacentral:rRNA from 1 species